UGGCCAGUCAGUCAACAGGACUCAAUGCUGCAUCAAGGACCCCUUUAGGACUGGAACAUCUUGAUAUUGUGCUCAAUGUAUGCCAAGGAUGCAGUGCUAGAUGGGAAAGGCUAGGACUGAGAUUAGGCCUCCACAAUGACACAAUAGAACAAA